GACGAACGCUGGCGGCGUGCCUAAUACAUGCAAGUAGAACGCUGAAGGAGGAGCUUGCUUCUCUGGAUGAGUUGCGAACGGGUGAGUAACGCGUAGGUAACCUGCCUGGUAGCGGGGGAUAACUAUUGGAAACGAUAGCUAAUACCGCAUAAGAGUAGAUGUUGCAUGACAUUUGCUUAAAAGGUGCAAUUGCAUCACUACCAGAUGGACCUGCGUUGUAUUAGCUAGUUGGUGAGGUAACGGCUCACCAAGGCGACGAUACAUAGCCGACCUGAGAGGGUGAUCGGCCACACUGGGACUGAGACACGGCCCAGACUCCUACGGGAGGCAGCAGUAGGGAAUCUUCGGCAAUGGACGGAAGUCUGACCGAGCAACGCCGCGUGAGUGAAGAAGGGUGUCGGAUCGUAAAGCUCUGUUGUAAGAGAAGAACGAGUGUGAGAGUGGAAAGUUCACACUGUGACGGUAUCUUACCAGAAAGGGACGGCUAACUACGUG
rnacentral:rRNA from 1 species